CGGAGGGGCUCUGGGUCACCUCCCACCCGUGUUUAUUUUACCUUGUUGCUUCGGCGGGCCCGCCUUAACUGGCCGCCGGGGGGCUUACGCCCCCGGGCCCGCGCCCGCCGAAGACACCCUCGAACUCUGUCUUGAAGAUUGUAGUCUGAGUGAAAAUAUAAAUUAUUUAAAACUUUCAACAACGGAUCUCUUGGUUCCGGCAUCGAUGAAGAACGCAGCGAAAUGCGAUACGUAAUGUGAAUUGCAAAUUCAGUGAAUCAUCGAGUCUUUGAACGCACAUUGCGCCCCCUGGUAUUCCGGGGGGCAUGCCUGUCCGAGCGUCAUUGCUGCCCUCAAGCACGGCUUGUGUGUUGGGCCCCGUCCUCCGAUCCCGGGGGACGGGCCCGAAAGGCAGCGGCGGCACCGCGUCCGGUCCUCGAGCGUAUGGGGCUUUGUCACCCGCUCUGUAGGCCCGGCCGGCGCUUGCCGAUCAACCCAAAAUUUUAUCCAGGUUGACCUCGGAUCAGGUAGGGAUACCCGCUGAACUUAAGCAUAUCAAUAAGCGGAGGAA
rnacentral:rRNA from 1 species